GCCUGACUAGGUCAGUCGGUAGAGCAUGAGACUCUUAAUCUCAAGGUCGUAGGUUCAAGCCUGAUGUUGGGCG